rnacentral:rRNA from 1 species
UACGUAGGGGGCAAGCGUUGUCCGGAUUUAUUGGGCGUAAAGAGCGUGUAGGCGGCCAGACAGGUCCGUUGUGAAAACUCGAGGCUCAACCUCGAGAUGUCGAUGGAAACCGUCUGGCUAGAGUCCGGAAGAGGAGUGUGGAAUUCCUGGUGUAGCGGUGAAAUGCGCAGAUAUCAGGAAGAACACCUAUGGCGAAGGCAGCACUCUGGGACGGUACUGACGCUGAGACGCGAAAGCUAGGGGAGCGAAUGGG